GCCUUGGUAGCUCAAUUGGCUAGAGCGUGGGACUUUUACAACCGCUGACAUCGGUUCGGUGUUAUCCCAAGGUUGCGGGUUCGACCCCCGCCUGAGGCG